CGUCUGGUGGAUGGCUCGGCUUGAGCGCUGAGGAAGGGCGCGGCAAGCCGCGAAAGAGCCCCGGGUAGGCGCAUGCAGCCGUAGAUCCGGGGAUUCCUGAAUGGGACUUCCUACCGCGGUUCUUCGGAACCGUGGUGCUCCCGGCAGGGAGCGGGAACCCCCCGAACGGAAGCAUCUUAGUAGGGGGAGGAAAAGAAACCAACUGGGAUUCCCUUAGUAGCAGCGAGCGAAAAGGGAAAAGUCCAAACCAAACCCCGCGGGGAAACCUGUGGGGGAUGUGGAGUUAUGGGCCCAGCCUCCUCUUCGCCGGCGAAGCCGAAGUGGCCUGGAACGGCCCGCCAUAGAGGGUGAAAGCCCCGUAGGCGUAAGCUGGAAAGAGUUGGGCUGGAGUCCCAGAGUACCGUACCUUGGUUUGGGUGCGGGAAGUUGAGAGUCACCAACUACCAAGACUAAAUACGUCUCAAGCCCGAUAGCGCACUAGUACGGUGACGGAAAGCUGAAAAGCACCCCGGGAGGGGGGUGAAAAGAGCCUGAAACCAGACGGUUACAGACGUGUGCAGCCCGGAAGG
rnacentral:rRNA from 1 species